AUUGAACGCUGGCGGAAUGCUUUACACAUGCAAGUCGAACGGCAGCACGGACUUCGGUCUGGUGGCGAGUGGCGAACGGGUGAGUAAUGUAUCGGAACGUGCCCAGUCGUGGGGGAUAACGUAGUGAAAAUUACGCUAAUACCGCAUACGAUCUAUGGAUGAAAGCGGGGGAUCGCAAGACCUCGCGCGAUUGGAGCGGCCGAUAUCAGAUUAGGUAGUUGGUGGGGUAAAGGCCCACCAAGCCAACGAUCUGUAGCUGGUCUGAGAGGACGACCAGCCACACUGGAACCGAGACACGGUCCAGACUCCGACGGGAGGCAGCAGUGGGGAAUUUUGGACAAUGGGCGAAAGCCUGAUUCAGCCAUUCCGCGUGCAGGAUGAAGGCCCUCGGGUUGUAAACUGCUUUUGUACAGAACGAAAAGGUUUCUACUAAUACUAGGAGCUCAUGACGGUACUGUAAGAAUAAGCACCGGCUAACUACGUGCCAGCAGCCGCCGUAA
rnacentral:rRNA from 1 species